rnacentral:rRNA from 1 species
UACAGAGGGUGCGAGCGUUGUCCGGAAUCACUGGGCGUAAAGGGCGCGUAGGUGGUGGCUUAAGCGUGCGGUGAAAGCUCGGGGCUCAACCCCGAGUCGGCCGUGCGAACUGGGCUCACUGGAGCAUAGUAGAGGCAGGUGGAAUUCCGGGUGUAGCGGUGGAAUGCGUAGAGAUCCGGAAGAACACCGGUGGCGAAAGGCGGAUCUCUGGG